rnacentral:rRNA from 1 species
CUACGGAGGGUCCAAGCGUUAUCCGGAUUCAUUGGGUUUAAAGGGUCCGCAGGCGGGAAAAUAAGUCAGUGGUGAAAGCCUACAGCUCAACUGUAGAACUGCCAUUGAUACUGUUUUUCUUGAGUAUAGAUGAAGUGGGCGGAAUAUAUCAUGUAGCGGUGAAAUGCAUAGAUAUGAUAUAGAACACCGAUUGCGAAGGCAGCUCACUAAACUAUUACUGACGCUCAGGGACGAAAGCGUGGGUAGCAAUCAGGAUUAGAUACCCUAGUAGUCC